ensembl:lncRNA
AAAACAAAGUUUUGCCUUUGGUUUAAUUCUGUCCCUGGAGUCAUCAGUACAUUAAUACAGUAGCUCUCAGAUACUGGAGUACCUGGAGAGAACCUGGGGAGACAUGAACAUUGCAUUUUCAAUCACUGGUUAGUGGCCAGUUACAUUGCUAGUAUAAAUAUUAGCUGUCAUCUGAGCAUCCCUCCAUCGAUCACCUGUUUCUGUGCACAUCCAGAUCAAACUCGGGUUUCUGAUCACCUGACCUUCCCAGCUGUCACAGAUCACCUGCGGAUCGUUUCGUCUGAAGCCUUCUCUCCAUCGAUUGCUGGGCUACAUUACAGAAGCGCUGCUUUGACUUUCCCUUCUUUCGUUCGGGUUUCCUU